rnacentral:rRNA from 1 species
GACAGAGGGUGCAAACGUUGCUCGGAAUUACUGGGCGUAAAGCGCGUGUAGGCGGACUGGUGUGUCGGAUGUGAAAUCCCCAGGCUCAACCUGGGAACUGCAUUCGAAACUGCCAGCCUUGAGUGGUGGAGAGGGAAGUGGAAUUCCUGGUGUAGAGGUGAAAUUCGUAGAUAUCAGGAGGAACACCGGCGGCGAAGGCGGCCCUCUGGAUCGUUGCUGACGCUGAUACGCGAAAGCGUGGGGAGCAAACAGG